GUGUAUAUUAAAGUUGUUGUGGUUAAAAAGCUCGUAGUUGGAUCUCGGCAGGCAGGGGGCGGUCCGUUAUUUGACGCGACUGCCCCGUUUGCCUGUGUUUCUUUGGCGGAACUCGCAGGGUGCUCUUCGCCGAGUGUCCUGUCGGGGCCGCCGGGUUUACUUUGAAAAAAUUAGAGUGCUCCAAGCGGGCUCGACACGCCUGAAUAUCCGUGCAUGGAAUAAUGGAAUAGGACGUCGUUCCUAUUUUGUUGGUUUUAGGGAAUCGACGUAAUGAUUAAUAGGGACAGCCGGGGGCAUUAGUAUUCAGACGACAGAGGUGAAAUUCUUGGACCGUCUGGCGACUCACUGCUGCGAAAGCGUUUGCCAAGUAUGUUUUCAUUAAUCAAGAACGAAAGUUAGAGGUUCGAAGGCGAUCAGAUACCGCCCUAGUUCUAACCAUAAACGAUGCCAGCUAGCGAUCUGCGGGCGUUUUUAUUGUAGGCCCCGCAGGAAGCUUCCGGGAAACCAAAGCUUUUGGGUUCCAGGGAAAGUAUGAUUGCAAAAUUGAAAUUUAAAGAAAUUGACGGAACGGCACCACCAGGCGUGGAACUUGCGGCUUAAUUUGACUCAACACUGGAAAUCUCACCAGGCCCGGACACCGGAAGGAUUGACAGAUUGAGAGCUCUUUCUCGAUUCGGUGGGUGGUGGUGCAUG
rnacentral:rRNA from 1 species